UCUCACCACUAGUUCUCUCUCUCUCUCUCUCUCUCUCUCUCUCUAUCUCCCUCUCUCUCUCCAAGGAGUUGCCAAUCUGAAGGAGUUGACUUGUGUAAAGAUAGAGCUUAACAAUACUAGUACUGUUUUUGGAAGACACAUACAAAAGGGCAAAACCGGAAUACGAUGAGUCGGAGAAAUGGUGGCCGUGGAGGUGGUCCGAAGCUCGACUUGAAGUUGAAUCUCUCGCCACCACGACCUCACAGACCGAUGAUCGAAUCACCAAAUCAUUCGACAACGCUAUCGAUGUCCCCUACAAGCUCGUGUUUGUCGUCUGAAUUGGUUCAGGAUGAGACUGGCCUCAGAUACCCAACAAGCCCAGAGGCCACGUCCAUGAUGCUCGUUGGCUGUCCUCGAUGUCUCAUGUAUAUUAUGCUCGCUGAGGAUUACCCUAAGUGCCCUAAAUGUAAGAGCACUGUUUUGCUUGACGUUGUUCAUGACAACAUCAAGAAAACAAAAAACGGUUAGAACGGAAAAAUUUUUAAAAAAUUUCUUAGAAAUUAUUAGGAAAUUAUGUUUUUCCGAUUUUUAUUUUAAUGGGUGAUGUUAUUUUUACUUGGGUACUUCAUGUUGGAAAAUUACGAUUGGAUCCUUAAGAGCAAUACUGCAUUUUA